AGAAACAAUCGGGAUACAGAAUGGAUUCUAAUCAUCAUCAGACUUCCAUCUUUUUUUUUUUUUUUUUUUUUUUU
rnacentral:ribozyme from 12 species